AUGAACAUUACCUUAUUCAAUUGUUCUUCUGUUCUUGAAAGACGGCCAUAUAAUGAUCAGGUUCUAAAUGGCCCCUGCCACAGCAACCUUGGCAAUCAAAUCUAUGCCGUUUAUGAUAACUACGAAAUUGAUAACCUCCAGUCUUGCACAAAGAUGCAUAAUGUUUUAUCAGUUCCAGUUUCAAAUUCAGACAGAUCUCUUAGUGUUUUGAGAUGGUCUCCACCAAAUUGCACAGAAUGUGAAGCAGGAGGCAAGAAGUGUAUGCUGAAGAACAAUGGCACCAGAGUUGAAAUUGAAUGUGUUGACUUGAAGAAAGCAAGUGCAGCAACGAAAUUAGCGGCUACCAGUGCAACCCUGGGUUCAUUCGUCCUCUUACUACUGGUUGUUGCAGUCUAUCAGGUCUAUAGCUAUGAUAUAAAGGAAAACGAGAAUCGAUUAAAAAUUGAAAGAUUUCUAGAGGAUUACAAGGUCUUCAAACCAAGUAUAGAUAUUCCAUGCAGAUAUUAAGAGGAUUACAAAUCAGUUCACGGACAAGUUAGGCGAAGGAGCCUACGGAACUGUUUAUAAAGGAAAGCUUUCUUCUGAAAUCUUCGUUGCUGUGAAGGUCCUCAAUAGUUCUAACGGAAACGGGGAAGAGUUCAUAAAUGAAGUGGGAACAAUGGGCCAUAUCCACCAUGUCAACGUGGUUCGCUUGGUUGGCUUCUGUGCUGAUGGAUUUAGAAGAGCUCUUCUUUAUGAGUUCUUCUCCAAUGGUUCACUGCAAGAUUACAUUUCAUCAGUGGGCAACAAGAAUGGGUUCUGUGGUUGGGAUAAGUUGCAAGAUAUUGCCAUAGGCAUAGCCAGAGGCAUUGAAUAUCUUCACCAAGGAUGUGAUCGGCGAAUUCUCCAUUUUGAUAUCAAACCUUGUAAUGUUUUGAUAGACCACAACUUCACUCCAAAGAUAUCAGACUUUGGUUUGGCGAAGUUAUGUUCCAAGGAUCAAAGCAGUGUCAAUGACUACAGCUAGGGGGACCAUGGGCUACAUUGCACCUGAAGUGUUCUCCAGGAACUUUGGAAAUGUGUCCUAUAAGUCAGAUGUGUGUAGUUUUGGAAUGCUACUGCUUGAGAUAGUAGGAGGAAGGACGAAUGUCAGUUCACCCACAGAGAACACAAAUGAAAUUUACUACCCUGAAUGGAUUUAUAAUCUUCUAGAAGAGGGAGAUGACCUAUCAAUCCAUAUGGGUGAAGAAGGAGAUGGUAAAAUUCCAAACAAACUUGCAAUUGUAGGACUCUGGUGCAUCCAAUGGUAUCCAGUCAAUCGUCCUUCAAUGAAAGCUGUGGUUCAGAUGCUGGAAAAAGGAGAAAACCUAACCGUGCCUCCCAAUCCGGUUAUUUAUUGA